rnacentral:rRNA from 1 species
AUGUUACUAUUAUGUGCAGGACGUCUAUAUUGUUGCAUGAAGGAAACAAAAUUUCCAUAUGGAUGGCACUUAUUUCUUCAAAUACCUAUACUGAAUGUGCCAUAUUGCAACCUCUCAUUUACACAGCCAUGUCAUGUCCUUUGUUUAAUUGCACUGGACUUUUGGUGCUAUGUUGGAUAUGACAGGUUUUGUUGCUUAAACACAUAUACUAACAGGAAUAAGCAUCAGGUAUGUAAAUUGAAUUUCAGUCUGAGUCAUGCUAAAUCGACAGUAGGCUUUGAAAAUUAUGAGGACAGUGUGCUUAUAGUCUGUACCUAA